rnacentral:rRNA from 1 species
UACGGGAGCAGCAGUGGGGAAUAUUGCACAAUGGGCGCAAGCCUGAUGCAGCCAUGCCGCGUGUAUGAAAAAGGCCUUCGGGUUGUAAAGUACUUUCAGUCGUGAGGAAGGUGUUAAGGUUAAUAACCUUAGCAAUUGACGUUAGCGACAGAAGAAGCACCGGCUAACUCCGUGCCAGCAGCCGCGGUAAUACGGAGGGUGCGAGCGUUAAUCGGAAUUACUGGGCGUAAAGGGCACGCAGGCGGUUAAUUAAGUUGGAUGUGAAAUCCCCGGGCUUAACCUGGGAAUGGCAUUCAAGACUGGUUAGCUAGAGUCUUGUAGAGGGGGUUAGAAUUCCAUGUGUAGCGGUGAAAUGCGUAGAGAUGUGGAGGAAUACCGGUGGCGAAGGCGGCCCCUGGACAAAGACUGACGCUCAUGUGCGAAAGCGUGGGGAGCAACAGGGAUUAGAUACCCGU